UACGUAGGAUGCAAGCGUUGUCCGGAUUUAUUGGGCGUAAAGAGCGUGUAGGCGGCUAUGCAAGUCCGCUGUGAAAUCUCGAGGCUCAACCUCGAGACGUCGGUGGAAACCGUGUGGCUAGAGUCCGGAAGAGGAGAGUGGAAUUCCCGGUGUAGCGGUGAAAUGCGCAGAUAUCGGGAAGAACACCAGUGGCGAAGGCGGCGCUCUGGGACGGUCCUGACGCUGAGACGCGAAAGCGUGGGGAGCGAGCAGG
rnacentral:rRNA from 1 species